AUCAUAAUACUCGCUUCACAAAUACAGACUGAUCCUUUCAGUUUCAGGGAUGCCAAAUUAUUUUAGAUUGUGAAAAUAUAUGCAAAUUAUAUUAUCUGCAAGCAAAUGUUUUUAUUCGAUAAAUAAGACUAUGACAGUAGAACCCCGAUUAUCUGUAUCUGUAUCUGUACCCCGAUUAUCUGUAUCUGUAUCUAUUUCUGUAUUGAUAAAACAUAGUUUCUAUGUUUAAAAAUCAUCCCGACUAUUCACGGAUAAUCGGGAUUCUACUGUAACUUGAAUUAACACGUGAUGUUUUUUCACCUGUGAUUUUCCCAGAUCUUCUCAUUCUCCAAAUUUUAUAGCGGAGUGUGAAGAAACACACAACUUAGACUAAAGUGGAUGCCCCGCUCGCUAACGCAAAGAAUGACCGAGUUCAAUGUUAAAAACAUUCCUAAGGCCAUCUACACACUAGGCAACCUAAGUUGGAAAGCAACUUAACGAAUCUGUCAAAAAAGUUGAGAACAUGUGUAAUCAAAUGGGAGCAUACACACUAGGCAACUGGCAACUUUGGUCGGACCAACUUUUUCGAUUCAACUCAGCAUGUCGAGUCGCGCGCGAUUUGUGUCGGCAACCUUUUCGUUCAAUUGCUGUUGACGUUUUGAUUUCUGCGUUCAUUGAAUUUCAAUAUCUGUCAGUGGUGAUGCAAAACAGUGUUUACAAUAUUGGCGCAUCUGUUUCUAUGAACGAACGAGAUGAAAUGCCAUCAAUAUGCAAGUUCUCUUGAUAUACCGUCCAGGAAGAGUGCUGAAUUGGUCAAGGAUGCGUAUAAUAUUGGAGAUUGAGCAAGAAGCACAGAAUCCGCUGGAUGUGUUUUUUCCAAGUUAACAGCAAUUGUUGCUGUCUGUUGUUAUCAGCGAGCCGAAAUAAGUAUGUUAGAUAGCCUAAGAUUGGAUAAUUCUGGUCAGAUUUCCCGGGAAACCGUUAUCAUCCCUGAUUCUCGAUUGUACCAUGUGCGAAGGUGCGGUCUGCGAAUAUGUGACCCCUGGGAGAAUUUUUCAUAUUUAGCGUUAGUGUAUACAUAAAUCAUUCUUUAGAAGAAUUGUUGAAAAUUUUUCUGUUUUCUUUAUAUAAUUCUUUUCGGCUGUAUUCUUAUUUCAAUGAUUUUUUUAUGUUUGUAAAUAUUGUUUGCUGGUUUGUGGUAUUACUCCAACGAAAAAUUAAUAUAUA